ensembl:snRNA U6 U6 spliceosomal RNA
GAGCUAUCUUUGAGAGCACGUAUACUAAAAUUGGAACAGUGCAGAGAUUAGCAUGGCUCCUGUGCAAGAAUGAUGUGUAAAUUUGUGAGGUGUUCCAUAUUUUA